rnacentral:rRNA from 1 species
AGAGUUUGAUCCUGGCUCAGGAUGAAUUCUAGCGGCAGGCUUAACACAUGCAAGUCGAGGGGCAGCGGGGAGGAAGCUUGCUUUCUCCGCCGGCGACCGGCGCACGGGUGAGUAACACGUAUGCAACCUGCCCCUGUCAGGGGGACAACCCGCCGAAAGGCGGGCUAAACCCGCGUACAUGCCACCGGGGCAUCCCGGAGGCAGGAAAGGCUUCGGCCGGACAGGGAUGGGCAUGCGGCGCAUUAGGCAGUAGGCGGGGUAACGGCCCACCUAACCGACGAUGCGUAGGGGUUCUGAGAGGAAGGUCCCCCACACUGGUACUGAGACACGGACCAGACUCCUACGUGAGGCAGCAGUGAGGAAUAUUGGUCAAUGGUCGGGAGACUUAACCAGCCAAGCCGCGUGAGGGAGGAAGGUACAGAGUAUCGUAAACCUCUUUUGUCAGGGAACAAAGGCGGGGACGUGUCCCCGGAUGAGUGUACCUGAAGAAAAAGCAUCGGCUAACUCCGUGCCAGCAGCCGCGGUAAUACGGAGGAUGCGAGCGUUAUCCGGAUUUAUUGGGUUUAAAGGGUGCGCAGGCGGUCUUGUUAAGUCAGCGGUCAAAGCCCGGGGCUCACCCCCGGCCCCCCCGUUGAAACUGGCAGUCUCGAGUUGGAGAAAAAUAUGCCGGUAAUGCGCGGUGUAACGGUGAAAUGCAUAGAUUAUCGCGCAGAACUCCCGAUUGGGAGGGCAGCAGCCCGGCUCCACACUGACGCUGAGGCACGAAAGCGUGGGUAUCGAACAGGAUUAGAUACCCUGGUAGUCCACGCAGUAAACGAUGAAUGCUGGCUGUCCGGGGGGAUUGACCCCUGGGUGGCGAAGCGAAAGCGAUAAGCAUUCCACCUGGGGAGUACGCCGGCAACGGUGAAACUCAAAGGAAUUGACGGGGGCCCGCACAAGCGGAGGAACAUGUGGUUUAAUUCGAUGAUACGCGAGGAACCUUACCCGGGCUCAAACGGGGAGUGACUCAGGCAGAGACGCCUGUUUCCCACGGGACACUCCCCGAGGUGCUGCAUGGUUGUCGUCAGCUCGUGCCGUGAGGUGUCGGCUUAAGUGCCAUAACGAGCGCAACCCCCGCGUGCAGUUGCUAACAGAUAACGCUGAGGACUCUGCACGGACUGCCGGCGCAAGCCGCGAGGAAGGCGGGGAUGACGUCAAAUCAGCACGGCCCUUACGUCCGGGGCGACACACGUGUUACAAUGGGUGGUACAGCGGGAAGCCAGGCGGCGACGCCGAGCGGAACCCGAAAUCCACUCUCAGUUCGGAUCGGAGUCUGCAACCCGACUCCGUGAAGCUGGAUUCGCUAGUAAUCGCGCAUCAGCCAUGGCGCGGUGAAUACGUUCCCGGGCCUUGUACACACAGCCCGUCA